UACCAGGGAUGCAAAUUGCAACACCUCAGUAUUGAACAUUUAAUCUAAGAAUGUCCUUCCACCAGAAUGAACCUUUUUCCCUUGCAAGGCUUAUAUUGAUGACUCCUAAGCCUCCCUUGGAUUUUGGUCUUUGCACAAGAUCCCAAGUAGCUAGGUUGUAGCCCUUGUUUUUGAAAUCAUUUCUUCUCCAAAGACAGUUCUUCCUAUAUUUGUCAAUAAUCUCAAUCACAGUAAUUGGCAGUUUCAGAGAGCACAUAUAGUAGGUUGGUAGGGAGGACAUGACAGAGUUUACUAAUUGAAGCCUACUAGCCUGUGAGAGAAACUGGGAGCUGGCAGACAUUCUUCUCUCAAUCCUGCAGAUGAGAGGGGCAUAGUCUUUGACCUGAGGCUUGGUAAUCCCCAUGGGCAAUCCAAGGUAAGUAAAGGGGAAAGAGCCAACAGCACAGCCAAGACUACUAGCUAAUGAUCAAGCUCUGUCAUGAUCAUUGUUAAUGGGUAUCAAGCAUGACUUAUGGAAAUUAACUUUCAGGCCACUGGACAGAGUGAUCUUGUGCAGAAUAUCCUUUAUGAGUGUCAUCUAUGACUCAAUACCUUCCUUUUGUUAUAAGUACUGGAAGGUGCUGUG